rnacentral:rRNA from 1 species
CACAGGGAGGUAGUGACAGGAAAUAACAAUGUGAAGCUCUACGAGCUAUCACAAUUGGAAUGAGUACCACUUAAAACACGUAACGAGUAACAAUUGGAGGGCAAGUCUGGUGCCAGCAGCCGCGGUAAUUCCAGCUCCAAUAGCGUAUAUUAAAGUUGUUGCAGUUAAAAAGCUCGUAGUUGAGGUUCGGGCGAGGCGCCCAGUCUGGCAUGUUGUCAGCACUGGGCGGUCAGCCAAGCGUGAGCAAUCACAUGGCACCUCGCCUUACUUCUGGGGAACCUGGCGUGCUCUUUACUGAGUGCCCAGAGGAACCAGGACGAUUACUUUGAGGAAAAUAGAGUGUCCAAGGCGGGCAGAUGCUUGAAUACGUUAGCAUGGAAUAAUAAAAUAGAAUGUUGGUUCUAUUUUGUUGGUUUUGAGAACCAUCAUCAUUGAUGAAUAGGGACAGUUGGGGGCAUUAGUAUUCCGGGGCUAGAGGUGAAAUUCUUGGAUUCCCGGAAGACUAACUACUGCGAAAGCAUUUGCCAAGGAUGUUUUCAUUAAUCAAGAACGACAGUUCAGGGAUCGAAGACGAUUAGAUACCGUCGUAGUCUGAACCAUAAACUAUGCCGACUAAGGAUCAGUCAGUGUCAUUUUCUUGACCUGAUUGGCACUUUGAGAGAAAUCAAAGUUUUUGGGUUCUGGGGGGAGUAUGGUCGCAAGGCUGAAACUUAAAGGAAUUGACGGAAGGGCACCACCAGGAGUGGAGCCUGCGGCUUAAUUUGACUCAACACGGGAAAACUCACCAGGUCCAGACAUAAUAAGGAUUGACAGAUUGAUAGCUCUUUCAUGAUUUUAUGGGUGGUGGUGCAUGGCCGUUCUUAGUUGGUGGAGUGAUUUGUCUGGUUAAUUCCGAUAACGAACGAGACCUUAACCUGCUAACUAGACCGUUCCAGCUUGCCUGGAUCUCGGUCUUCUUAGAGGGACUAUCAGUGACUAACUGAUGGAAGUUUGAGGCAAUAACAGGUCUGUGAUGCCUUAGAUGUUCUGGGCCGCACGCGCGCUACACUGAUAAAGCCAGCGAGUGUCUCCUUGGCAGGAAUGCCUGGGUAAUCUUGUGAAACUUUAUCGUGCUGGGGAUCGAUCAUUGCAAUUAUUGAUCGUGAACGAGGAAUUCCUAGUAGGCGCAAGUCAUCAGCUUGCGCCGAUUACGUCCCUGCCCUUUGUACACACCGCCCGUCGAUACUACCGAUU